rnacentral:rRNA from 1 species
ACGAACGCUGGCGGCGUGAUAAGACAUGCAAGUCGAGCGCUAAUUCUGGUUGUAGCAAUACAUCAGAGUUGGAGGGGCGCAAGGGUGCGCAACACGUGGGUAAUUUGCCGUGAAGUUGGGGAUAACUCGCUGAAAGGCGAGCUAAUACCGAAUGUGGUUAUUGGGUGGCAUCACUUGAUAACUGAAGCUGGGGAUCGUAAGACCUGGCGCUUCAUGAUAAGCCCGCGGCCUAUCAGCUAGUUGGUGAGGUAACGGCUCACCAAGGCUAAGACGGGUAGCUGGUCUGAGAGGACGACCAGCCACACUGGAACUGAGACACGGUCCAGACACCUACGGGUGGCCAGCAGUCGAGAAUUUUUCUCAAUGGGCGCAAGCCUGAAGGAGCGACGCCGCGUGGGUGGAUGAAGGGUUUCGAUCCGUAAACCCCUGUCAUUCGUGAACAAUGGUUACGAUCGAAUAUUUCGUGACUUGAUAGUAACGGAAGAGGAAGGCACCGGCUAACUCUGUGCCAGCAGCCGCGGUAAUACAGAGGUCAGAGCGUUGUUCGGAUUAAUGGCGUAAAGGGUGCGUAGGCUGUGCCUGUAAAGUCUGAUGGUGAAAGCUCAGGGCUAACUCAUGAACUGGCAUAGAUACUGCUGUGGCUGGAGUGUGGAGAGGGGACUGGAAUUCUGGUGUAGCAGUGAAAUGCGUAGAUAUCAAGGGAGGAACACCAGUGGCGAAGGCGAGCUCACUGGACAACAACUGACACUGAGUGCGCGAAAGCUAGGGGAAGCAAACAGGAUUAGAUACCCUGGUAGUCCUAGCCCUAAACGAUGAUUGCUUGGUGUUUGCUGGUAACCGAAUCGACCCCUGUGGCGAAGCUAACGCGAUAACAAGCCGCCUGGGGAGUACGGUCGCAAGACUUAAAACUCAAAGGAAAUUGACGGGGGCCCUGCACAAGCGGUGGAGCUAUGUGGUUCAAUUCGACGCAACGCGAAGAACCUUACCUGGCUCUGAAAUGUAGUGGAACCAUGAAGUGGGAAACAUCCUUCCGCAAGGGAGCUUGCUAUAGGUGCUGCAUGGCUGUCGUCAGCUCGUGUCGUGAGAUGUUGGGUUAAGUCCCGCAACGAGCGCAACCCUAUGUGUCAUGUGCCACUUCAUUCGAGAGUAGGAAGCACUCUGGACAGACUGCCUCGAUUAAACGGGGAGGAAGGUGGGGAUGACGUCAAGUCCGUCAUGGCCCUUAGGUCCAGGCUAGCACACGUGCUACAAUGUCCUUACACAACCGGAGCAAGACCCGUCAGGUGGAGCUAAUCCCAGAAAAUCAGGACCUCAGUUCGGAUUGCAGUCUGCAACUCGACGGCCAUGAAGCUUAGAAUCGCUAGUAAUCGCGGAUCAGAUACGGCCGCCGUGAAUACGUUCCCAGGCCUUGUACACAACCGCCCGUCACAUCACGAAAGGGGGCUGUACUAGAAGUCAGGUGCAAGCAACUCGCAAGAGAGGCAGCCUGCCGAAGGUAUAGCUAGUGAUUGGGAUG